rnacentral:rRNA from 1 species
GACAGAGGGUGCAAACGUUGUUCGGAAUUACUGGGCGUAAAGCGCGUGUAGGCGGCUUGGCAAGUCGGAUGUGAAAGCCCUGGGCUUAACCCAGGAAGUGCACUCGAAACUGCCGAGCUUGAGUUCUGGAGAGGAAGGCGGAAUUCUCGGUGUAGAGGUGAAAUUCGUAGAUAUCGAGAGGAACACCGGUGGCGAAGGCGGCUUUCUGGACCGGCAUUGACGCUGAGGCGCGAAAGCUAGGGGAGCAAACGGG